CAGCUGGAUGAGGCCAUGCACAGACCUUCAAAGCACUCAAUGAAAAGUCAGAGUUAGAUUCUUAGUGCAAUUCUAUUCAUGUACAUUUAAAACCCAGCGCUGUAUUUUACAUGCAUAGCCAGGCUCGAAUGCCACUGGUGAGUCUGGGGGGUGAGUGUGUGUCGGGGGCAUGACCUGAUUGUUCUAAAAUAGACACCCGCCCGCCUCACUCACCGGAGGGCACCUGAGUCUGGCUGCUACCAACACACAAAGGAAAGGUUUCCUGGAGGUUAAAGAAAUGAUUUAUCAGGUCAUUUCAGCUCUUUGGAGCCUUUGAAAGACCCAGUAUGUCAGGAGAUGAUACAGGCAGAUAAGUUAUGAUCUAAUGAGGGAAGAAAAGACAGGCACCACCUAGAAACCCCGGGGCAAUUCAGGAGGGAAGUCCGAAGACCGCAAGGGUGUAGGAACAGGAAGAGGAAAAACCCCGAAGGAGGUUUUGCACCGAGGAAAUGUGAGGGAAAGAAAUCGUGUCUUAUAAGACUUGGAUUCCCUACAGACAGCUUCAACCAAAUCACAAGGUAAUUACUGUCUUUGGUAGUUCUGAACGUGAAUGGAAAAAUUAUUCCCCUUAACCAAGUGAUGUAGAACCAAUCUUGCUUA
rnacentral:lncRNA from 1 species